AAUAAAUGCAGUUUUAUACCAUUCACGUUCAACGUUUGACCGUUCGUCUUAUUUAGAAAAAUUUUAUGAUUAGUAUUUUUAUUGCUAUUAGAUGAUAAAUCAUGAAUAGUACUUUAUGUGUGACUAAAUAUUUUUAAAUUUUUCACAAAUUUUUCAAAUAAGACGGACGAUCAAACGUUGGGCACGGAUAUCCAUGACUGCACUUAUU
rfam:Oryza sativa Japonica Group DNA, chromosome 11, cultivar: Nipponbare, complete sequence.